rnacentral:rRNA from 1 species
AUUGAACGCUGGCGGCAUGCCUUACACAUGCAAGUCGAACGGCAGCACGGGAGCAAUCCUGGUGGCGAGUGGCGAACGGGUGAGUAAUAUAUCGGAACGUGCCCAGUCGUGGGGGAUAACGCAGCGAAAGCUGUGCUAAUACCGCAUACGAUCUAAGGAUGAAAGCGGGGGAUCGCAAGACCCCGCGCGAUUGGAGCGGCCGAUAGCAGAUGAGGUAGUUGGUGGGGUAAAGGCCCACCAAGGCGACGACCUGUAGCUGGUCUGAGAGGACGACCAGCCACACUGGAAAUGAGACACGGUGCAGACUCCUACGGGAGGCAGCAGUGGGGAAUUUUGGACAAUGGGCGCAAGCCUGAUCCAGCAAUGCCGCGUGCAGGAUGAAGGCCUUCGGGUUGUAAACUGCUUUUGUACGGAACGAAACGGCCCUUUCUAAUACAGGGGGCUAAUGACGGUACCGUAAGAAUAAGCACCGGCUAACUACGUGCCAGCAGCCGCCGUAA